ensembl:lncRNA
UUUUUUUUUUUUUUUAACGCCACAGCAGGAACUCCUCUCUGAUCUAUCUUUAUCACUGUUUGGCCUGGUACUUGUCAUUCAAGAAGGGCCUGUCCAUGAGGCCCACAGGCCUCUAUAUGACAAUGCUCCCCUUCCCUUUCCUCUUCCCCAUGGAAUUUGGGCCAGUUACCUAACAGGGAAGGCGGGCUGCUCAGUUAAGUUACGAUUCAAGCUCUUAGAGCUUUAGAGCCAGAUGGAAUCUCCAAGGCGGACCCUCAUGGUUCCUCCUUCUCCUUCAAAGGUCUGUGUGUGGUGGCUCCCUUGCAUGAAAAGGUUGUAGAAAAGAGAAUAUUUGUUUUGAUAGACGUUUACAGGAACAUUGUGCCUGACCUACCUGGACAGCUGCAAGAACAAAGGAACUGACACUAAGAAGUUUGCAACUAACCAUGCCCCUCCCUCACCUUUCCUAUAAAAGGGCUUUGCUGAAAGCCUUCUAGGAGAUCAGGUUCUUUUUAAGGCAUGAGCCACCCAUCUCCUUGCAUGGUCCUGCAAUAAACCUUUCUCUGCUCCAACUCUGUCGUUUUAGUAUUGUUUGGCCUUACUGUGCAUAGGACACAUGGACUUGGCAGUAACACUAUUGGUGGCUCAGGUGAAUUCAUUUGACUAGUGUUUCCUGAGCACCUACUACACACUAUUACAGACACACAGUUUGUGUUGAUGAACAACACAAAGACCCCCACUCUCAUGGAGCUCAAAUGCUACUGGGUGGGGUACAAAGGACAGAGGAGAUGGCAUAGUAGAUACACUACUGACACAGUAAAUAAGGUAAUCAGAGUGUGUUAGACAGUGGUAAGUGCUAUUGAGAAGAGGGGAUAGGAGAGUUAAGUGAUGAUGGAGGAUCUGCAAUAUCAAAGAGGGUGAUCAGAGAUGUUGAGACUGGAGAAAAGGUCUGAUGCAGCUGAGGGAGGAGCAAUGAGGAUAUACGGGGAAAGAUGCUCCAGGCAGAAAGACAGCAGGUGCAAAGGCCCUGGGGCAGGACUAUACCUGGCAGGGUGGAGGAGCAGUGAGAAGGUCAUUGUGGCUGGAAUGAGUGAGUGGUAUGGACUGACAGAGGUGAGGGCAGGGGGUCUUUUUGCCCAUGCUCAGGACUUCAGCUGAGGUCAGUGCAGCCACUGGCCUAGUCCUUCUAGCCUAGAUUCCAGAGGCUCUGAAUGCAAGAAAUGUGGUCUUUACUUUGCCCUAGAAAUAUGAUCCAUGGCUUCUUCCACUUUAUUUAUUUAUUUAUUUUUUUUUGCUUUUUAGGGCUGUACCUUCAGCAUAUGGAAGUUCCCAGGCUCGGGGUAGAAUCAGAGCUGCAGCUGCCAGCCUAACCACAGCUCAUGGCAAUGCUGGAUCCUUAACCCACUGAGCGAGGCCAGGGAUGGAAUCCACGUCCUUAUGGAUACUAGUUGGGUAUGUAACCCGCGGAGCCAUGAACGGGAACUCUCCACUUCAUUCUUUCGGAAAUUUUAAAUAUGGAGAGGAGUUCCUGCUGUGGUACAAUUGGAUGGGCAGUGUCUCUGGAGCGCUGGGAUGCAUUUUUUUGUUUGUCUGUUUGUUUGUUUGUUUUUUGUCUUUUUGCCAUCUUCUUGGGCCGCUCCCACGGCAUAUGGAGAUUCCCAGGAUCUAGGGGGGGUCUGGUAUAGUAGAGCAGGCAACUUCAAGAUGUUUGAUAACAGCACAUCAAAGGGACCAGCCAAUGAUUGUUAAAAGGAAAACCUGCCUUGGAGCCGCUGGAGGAGCAGCUUUCCUUCCUCGGCUCUCACAGGCGAGGUCUUCCAGCGGUAAUUACUGUGC